rnacentral:ncRNA from 1 species
GACUUCGGUGAGGCGGAGGGUCUCCUCAAGGACGACCACCGAGAGAAAGAAACCGGACCAAGCCCCACCCCUCCGCCCCGCUCAGGCCGGGCUCACUCACUUGAGUGAAAAACACCAAAUCGGCUGGCUUCGGGCGGGGUUGCUUGAUCUAGGCUCAGCGCGACACACCACAUCACCACAUCACCGCUGACAUGAGUCGGCCCCCGCCGGGACGGCGAAUCCCACUGCGAGGGCCUGACCACCGAGGAAGUACGAGGCACUUCCCG